UACGUAGGGUGCAAGCGUUAAUCGGAAUACUGGGCGUAAAGCGUGCGCAGGCGGUUUUGUAAGUCAGAUGUGAAAUCCCCGGGCUUAACCUGGGAACUGCGUUUGAAACUACAAGGCUAGAGUGUGGCAGAGGGGGGUGGAAUUCCACGUGUAGCAGUGAAAUGCGUAGAGAUGUGGAGGAACACCGAUGGCGAAGGCAGCCCCCCUGGGUUAACACUGACGCUCAGGCACGAAAGCGUGGGGAGCAAACAGG
rnacentral:rRNA from 1 species